UGGCUAAUGAUGAUAAAUCUUUAUCUUAGCGGAUUUCAGUGAGAUAUCACUAUCAAUGAUCUGAUUGUUACACACACUGAAGCUC